GCCCGUGUGGAUCAAUCGGACCGCCCACUGGACUUACAAUCCAGAAGUUGCUGGUUCGAAUCCCGCGGCGGGCG
rfam:Culex pipiens quinquefasciatus supercont3.276 genomic scaffold, whole genome shotgun sequence.